rnacentral:tRNA from 1 species
GCCUUCGUGAUGUAGUGGUCAGCAUGCUUGACGCGUAACCGAGACGCCCGUGGUUCGAUUCCCGGCGAAGGCG